GAAGCCCAUCAGUUGUUUCACAUGAUUGCUAAGUGUCAGAAUAAAAAUGUUGCACUGAUAACUUGUUUUGUAAUGGUUGCUUUAUUUGACCACAGUAGUGUUCAAUAUUAUAUCAUUUCUGUGUGUCAGUAUCCUUACAAAUAUGUAAAUCUGCAUACUCUAUGACACAGAUACGGGCAAGAAUAAAGUAACCUUCUGUCUACACUUGAAAUGUUAGGGGUGAACCUCGGACCCUUCACGAAAUCCAGGAAUGGCAACAGCUGGUGUCUGACGGCGAACGAUUACUUUACCAAGUGGGUGGAGGCAAUCAAUACCCAUUAAGGAUGAAACUGGCGAUACCCAUUAGAGAUGAGACUGGCAAGGCCACCUCCAAGGCGAUGAUGGACAUCUUCAACACCCACGGUUCUCCUGAGGUCAUCUUGAGUGACCGAGGUCGUGAACUCUGGAACAAGGUUUGCAUGAACGGACCAACCAGACCCUCAAGACUGACUAAGGAAAGUCCCUUGAUGGGUACCAGGAACGGUGGGAGGACAAGCUGAAGGUAAUUCUCUUUGCAUACAACAGCAGCGUACAGGCCUCCACCGAGUUCUCGCCCUAUCACCUGCUGCAAGGACGGCAGCCGCAGCUGUUGACUGAGGUAAACAAUGCAAUUGUAUAUACAAUUAUUGCAUAUAAUGUAGUCUUUAACAUUUGUGAUUGACUUUGUGUUGUUGUUUGUCUAUUGCUAUUUUUGUAUUACGUACUUUCAGAUCACUGAAGUCCCACCUGAUGAGGUGGAAGUUGUCUAGAGCAGAACCCCACAAAAAUCUCAGAUAAUAACUACUUGCAUUUGCACACAAAAUAACCUGAAGCUAGUUUUAGUUUAAAAAAAAAUCAUCUUUGUCUAUGGUUACUUCGGAGAAAACAAGAACCUUCUCCAGUUGGAGCAGUUAUACGGUCGACCACUGAAAGCCCCGAGGCACUUCAGUGAAGCACAAUAGACAAAAACCAUUGACUGUCUGAGUCAUCCAGGAGGUAUCCGAUUCACUAGAGCCAGUGAAGUGAAGUUGGAGGGGGACCAGUGAAGUCAAAGGGGGACCAGCUUGAGGUUGAGACCAUGGUAGUAGAUGAGGAGGAGCAGUAUGACCAGGGUUAUUCUUGGCCGAGCAGUCCUUACAAAGCUUUCCUCCAAGGCUCUGAUGCAUCUAAUGUUGUCCAGAGGCCUGUGUCUGCAGGCUUCAGGAAAGUCAUUGGGCUGGACUGCCAUGUGGACAGUGCAGUGCAUUUGUGAAUGAAUGAAUGGAUGGAUACAUUUAAUUGAAUGAUACUGUAUUGAUCAGUUAGAGGGGAAAUUGUGUUUGAAGUUCACCACCACCGGUGUCGUGGAAAUAUUCAGUCAAUAAUAUUUCUCAAAUACCGGAGCCUGUGAGUUCAAAUAGACUUCUAUUACAAUACAAUAAAAGCCGAGCUGGUUCAUGAAAACUGCCUUUUCAACCUUGGCACACACUUCUAAUACAUUUUUCCUCCUUCCAUCACUCACAUAGUAACUCCUUUUUAUGUUAAUAAUUCAUCCCCUCUGGCAUUUAGCUACCGUUAUCUUUUUGCCUUGCACUAAUUUUAGUUUGGCUUCAUAUUAGGGCAUGGAAACAUGAGAUCCAUAGCAAUAGUUCAAAAAUAAACAGACAUGUCAUCCUGCUAACUCCUCUGAAAUGAACACACAUGUUCUGGAAAAUUCUCAAUUGGCGUAACCAUAGCAACAGUAAAUAUUAGGCCAUAGCACUGUUACAGAAAUAAACAGUCAUGUCCACUCCUCAGACACGUGCAUGUCUAAUGGUGUCUAAUGACCCAAAGCACAUAUAGAGUGCACUAUUCUUGCUGGCUCCUCUGAAAUGUAUAAUGGCCACACAUUGCCUCCAUCUUCUCUUGCUCUCUCCUCACCCUCAACAUUUAUGUUGCAUCUCGCUCCCUACACUGUACUGGCAGCACAGUGUGUGUGUGUUUCUCUUUCAUUAUGAUUAAACCAUGCUGUUAUGGCAAAAUACAAUUUGCUCUUAACGACAU